AUUGAACGCUGGCGGCAUGCCUUACACAUGCAAGUCGAACGGCAGCACGGGAGCAAUCCUGGUGGCGAGUGGCGAACGGGUGAGUAAUAUAUCGGAACGUGCCCAGUAGUGGGGGAUAGCCCGGCGAAAGCCGGAUUAAUACCGCAUACGACCUACGGGUGAAAGCGGGGGAUCGCAAGACCUCGCGCUAUUGGAGCGGCCGAUAUCAGAUUAGCUAGUUGGUGGGGUAAAGGCCUACCAAGGCGACGAUCUGUAGCUGGUCUGAGAGGACGACCAGCCACACUGGGACUGAGACACGGCCCAGACUCCUACGGGAGGCAGCAGUGGGGAAUUUUGGACAAUGGGCGCAAGCCUGAUCCAGCCAUGCCGCGUGUGGGAAGAAGGCCUUCGGUUGUAACCGACUUUAGUCUAGGAAGAACGGACGUCUUACUAAUAUUAGAG
rnacentral:rRNA from 1 species